CAACUUGCAUCCAAUCAGAUUGUUGCGGGAAUUCCCCAUGUUGGUGAGACACACGCAAAGUGCUGCAUUAAAAUUAGCAGAGAAGCAAGUGGAGAAAUUGAGUCUAAAACUGAAAAGUACAAUUUGGUACUCCAAAGAAGAUAUUUUUGUUUUCACUCCAAUGAAGGUAUUUUUGUUUUCACUCCAGAGAAGAUAUUUUUUUGUUUUCCGGUUUUGAGCUACUGGUGUUUUGCAAAACAACCGGACUCUUUAUUGAUGGUUUGUGUACUGGAUUAAACGGGACUUGGCCAACUUAGGUUGGGAUGAAGGAUUGUUGAUUAGACACUGGAUUUGGAAAUUGGAAGAUUCAAGAUGGCGAGCCACCCUAUGGACACAGUGUGAACUGUGCAUGAGCCAGGAUUGCACCCCCUGCUGGAUGUUUCAUGGUUUACAUCUGAACUGGUAGGAUCUUUUCACCUUCCACCAAACUAGUGGAUCCAGGUGGAUAACAUUGGACUGAUAAUUCAGAGAAAGAAAAACAAGCAAAAUCGGAAGUAAGAGACUUUAUUCUGUGGAAUACAGACUUGUUCAGUCUUUUGCUGAAUAUUUUGAGUUUUGUAACAGUUUGAUUUUCUUUAUUCAUUGUUUGGUUCCAAAUGCUAAAACAACAUUUUGUCUAAAUUCAAUGAUACCUAUACUAAACUAAAAGAGUUGAGAUAAAUAGAACUAAACUCAUUAAUAAAAGAGUUAAAUAGAGAAAUACCUUGAACUACCUUGAACUGAAGAUUAAAAUAGCUAAAGGUUGCAACCUAUAUUGAUAGGACCCAAAAGGAAUUAAAUAUCCUAAAAUUAAACUAAGAAGGUUUAACACAAAAAGGGAUUUAUUCCAAAAUAAAUGUUAAAUGUAAGUCAUUGUCUUUUGUCCAUAUGUUCAAUAACAAGCCGGCAUUUAAACUUUA